GCAUUGGUGGUUCAGUGGUAGAAUUCUCGCCUCCCACGCAGGAGACCCGGGUUCGAUUCCCGGCCAAUGCA
rnacentral:tRNA from 1 species